UACGGAGGGUGCAAGCGUUAUCCGGAUUUAUUGGGUUUAAAGGGUCCGUAGGCGGAUCUGUAAGUCAGUGGUGAAAUCUCACAGCUUAACUGUGAAACUGCCAUUGAUACUGCAGGUCUUGAGUAAGGUAGAAGUGGCUGGAAUAAGUAGUGUAGCGGUGAAAUGCAUAGAUAUUACUUAGAACACCAAUUGCGAAGGCAGGUCACUAUGUCUUAAUUGACGCUGAUGGACGAAAGCGUGGGGAGCGAACAGG
rnacentral:rRNA from 1 species